UACGUAGGGGGCGAGCGUUGUCCGGAUUUAUUGGGCGUAAAGAGCUCGUAGGCGGUUUGGAAAGUCGGGCGUGAAAACUCCGGGCUCAACUCGGAGACGCCACUCGAUACUGCCAUGACUAGAGUCCGGUAGGGGAGUGCGGAAUUCCUGGUGUAGCGGUGAAAUGCGCAGAUAUCAGGAGGAACACCGGUGGCGAAGGCGGCACUCUGGGCCGGAACUGACGCUGAGGAGCGAAAGCGUGGGGAGCGAACAGG
rnacentral:rRNA from 1 species